rfam:Picea glauca, whole genome shotgun sequence.
UAUGUAAAUUAUUACAACAUAGUGUUAAUGCACUAAAUCCCAUUAGAAAUCUACAGGUAAGGGAACUCGAGCUAGAGUAGUACUAGGAUGGGUGACCACUCGGGAAGUCCUAGUGUUUUACAUGC